GACAGAGGGUGCAAACGUUGCUCGGAAUCACUGGGCGUAAAGGGCGUGUAGGCGGGUAGAUAAGUCGGGCGUGAAAUCCCUAGGCUCAACCUAGGAACUGCACUCGAAACUGUUUAUCUUGAGUGCCGGAGAGGAAAGCGGAAUUCCUGGUGUAGAGGUGAAAUUCGUAGAUAUCAGGAGGAACACCAGUGGCGAAGGCGGCUUUCUGGACGGUAA
rnacentral:rRNA from 1 species